UACGUAGGCAGCGAGCGUUGUUCGGAGUUACUGGGCGUAAAGAGUGCGUAGGCGGUGUUCCAAGUCUGUUGUGAAAUCUCCCGGCUCAACUGGGAGGGUGCGGCGGAAACUGGGACGCUGGAGUACGGGAGAGGUAAGCGGAAUUCCUGGUGUAGCGGUGAAAUGCGUAGAUAUCAGGAGGAACACCUGUGGCGAAGGCGGGUCUCUGGGCCGAUACUGACGCUGAGGAGCGAAAGCGUGGGGAGCGAACAGG
rnacentral:rRNA from 1 species